rnacentral:rRNA from 1 species
GAUGAACGCUGGCGGCGUGCCUAAUACAUGCAAGUCGAGCGAAUGGAUUAAGAGCUUGCUCUUAUGAAGUUAGCGGCGGACGGGUGAGUAACACGUGGGUAACCUGCCCAUAAGACUGGGAUAACUCCGGGAAACCGGGGCUAAUACCGGAUAACAUUUUGAACCGCAUGGUUCGAAAUUGAAAGGCGGCUUCGGCUGUCACUUAUGGAUGGAACCCGGUCGCAUUAGCUAGUGGGUGAGGUAACGGCUCACCAAGGCAACGAUGCGUAGCCGACCUGAGAGGGUGAUCGGCCACACUGGGACUGAGACACGGCCCAGACUCCUACGGUAGGCAGCAGUAGGGAAUCUUCCGCAAUGGACGAAAGUCUGACGGAGCAACGCCGCGUGAGUGAUGAAGGCUUUCGGGUCGUAAAACUCUGUUGUUAGGGAAGAACAAGUGCUAGUUGAAUAAGCUGACACCUUGACGGUACCUAACCAGAAAGCCACGGCUAACUACGUGCCAGCCGCCGCCGUAA